AUCACAGGUAAGCCGGGCAGUAAUUGUGUCAACUAUUAGAUAUAUCAAAAAGGAUGACAUGACAAGAUGCUGGCUGCGAGUAUAUGUUAAUGUUGUUGUUGUUGUUGUUGUUCUUCAUAUUUUUUCUAAGGCCAUAUGCAGUCUGAGACUAUGACAGCCUUCACCUCACUAGCCUACCCUUAUGUUCGGCUACUCUCUAGUUACAUUUCUCUAUCCAUAACUGAGUCAUCCUUGAUGGAGAGACUUCACUAUACCAUUCUGGAUCUAGCCCUCAAGGGGGGCCUUGCCCCACAAUUGCUCACACAAUACUAAGCAGUCCCUUGUCACUUGAACUAGACAUGUAAGAAUCACAACAUCUUAGGAUCCCACACUAUACUGAAUUCAUCUAGACUAUAUACAUAGUGUUGAACAUUGCUCCACCCUGCAGUGGCAGUUACCAAUAGAAAUGAGAUAAGAAAGAGUACCCCUAAUAUCCACCAAGAUGUGAUAAUAUCCUUUUGGAGAAGGUGGGAUUCGAACCCACUAUCUUCUUGUCUCAGCAGUGGUGGCCCCAACACCAAGUGCCUACUUGAGAAAGCAUUCCAUGAACAGCGCUUACCACUACGCCAUCCACCCCCCCUGCGAGUAUAUGUUAAGUUCUUUAUAGUUAUUCAUAUCAUUGAUGAAUAUCAUCGAUGGAUACAAUUGAUAGAUGUCAUAUUGAUAUUCCUUACUUGAUAUCGUCAGAUCUUUAUAUCAUCAUCAGGUAUCAUCGCUAGAUAUCAUUGAUACAUAUUGCUAGAUCUUGAUACCGUACAGGCAGGCAGGCAGGCAGACAGACAGACAGACAGACAGAUGAGUGGUUGGAUGUGUGGAAGUGAGUAAUCCAUAUAGCUCACCAGCAUUAGCAUAGAAUCUUCACGCAAGAGCUCUCAACACCAUCCAUCUUCACAAUAUAAUAUCUCAAUCAAGAUAUAUCACCGAAGACUUUGUGAUAGCAUACAAUAAAGAUCUCUAGAGACACAAGAAAUCCAAGAAUAAAGGAUUCGUCAUGAUGGAAAGAUCGUUAGUAGUAAGGAAGAGAUGAGUGAGGUGAGGUAGGAGAGAGAGAUAUUGUUAAUACAUAUGAUGAUAGAGAUUUGAUGAGUAUGGAAGAGGAGCAAGAGUGUCAAAAGAGCUGAAAGAAUAAGGGUUGCAAGGCUUUUUACAGUUAGUUAGCAGGUCACAUUACUGCAAAAAUUUUGAAUUAAUAAAAAGAUAACAUUGAAAAUAACAUUGGCAAAACUGUAGUGAGUCCCUUAACCGCUUGACCAAAAAGAUCGCAGUGUUUAUACCCGUCAUGCCUGGUUACCAGGGCUCCUGUAGAAAACUCCCCUAAAUUGUCAACUUUUAAUAUAUGCUUAAUAUCAGAAGAGGUAAACACAAGGCAACUCUGAAUUCUAAAUAUAUUUGGAAGAGGCGGGCCAUAUUUCGGUAAAUAUUAACCGUUCAAGGAUGGGGUCUAGGCCACGCCCGGGUGAAGGGAUCGAUUGUAACCAUCCAUCCCCCCCUACUUCUAAUGUUUCUCGAGGCGAUUCGACGGAGCAGCAAUCCUUCUGCUAGGAUGGUCCAGCGCCUGGCGAUGCGCCUCCAUGCGGAAGUUGUCCAGUUUUCUUCCUAAUCUCCUCCAACAGAGCCUGCUCUUCUGCUAGUACGGCAGCUGCUUCCUGCUCAAGAAUCCGUGCCUUCGAAGCACUCUCGCGUUUCCGCUGUUCCACCGCUUCUAGAUUCGAAAGAAGCCCUUGUAUCUCCCAAGCUUCUUGUGACUCAUUGUUAGAGGACUCGAUCGGUGACAUCUGAUGUGGGGAGAAAUUAGCGACACUUGAGGGACCAAUUGGGGAUAUUGGAGGGCUCGAGGGUGAUACGGGGCUUGUGGGGGGUGGUGAAUAUGGGAGCGGUAUCGCCGCCGUUUCAAGAGGUCUCGCACUGUCAGGGUCGAGUGGACGAUAAUCAGAGUCACCAUGGUUGGCACCAGCGCCUUGUUCUCCGACUUGCUGCACACGCCCAUCUAAAUUGGUGUCCGAACUCAUCUCUUGCGGAGAGAACGCUGAGUUUGAAUUGCGCAUCGGAGGAGGCGGGGGGCCUCCACCUCUACUAGUCUCGACCGCUUCUAAUUCCGCUACGCAAUCGUACCUGUCGUUGCUUCUGCUAAUUUCCGUUCCUGAAAUCUCGUAGGCCAGCGGCUUAAUUUCCUGAACUUCUGUAUGAUUAUUAUCUUGUGGCUCUAUGCCGGAUGGGGUGACCUUUUGUCGUCGUCGUCGACGGAACCAAAGAAACAAUGCUAGUAGUAUCAGAGUGAGUAAUGUGAGAGGGACAGCAAUUGCCGCCUUUGCAGCGGUGCUAAGACCGCCGCUUCCAUUGUCGACUGUUGGGGCAAUCGAGCCCCUGCCAGGGAUGGCCGUGCCUGAGGGGCCUGUGGUAGAAGUUCCCGUUGUUGGAGAAUCGGUUGGUAAAGCUUGUGUUGAUGCGGUUGUCGACGCAGAUGCGGAAGCGGUGGAAGAAGUGAUGGUGGAAGUGGAAGUGGCGGUGGUGGUGGUUGUCUCUGUACUUGUGGUCGACGAAGAUUGCGGAACAGGGUCAGUAUACUCAGGAGGAAUAGUAAUAUCGGCCUUGUCACAUUGUUCCGCGAGAUACGUCCACGCUUCUUCCGAGGCGCUCUGGCUGCACUCUCCAGAGAUGCAACCUGCAAUAGAAGAAAGGAAAUCGUUGCUCUUGCAACAGUCAGGAUCAGAUAGCCAUUUGCCACAAGCAUUGUCGUUCACAGCGGUUUGGAAACACUUGGUCUACACCUAUGGGUUAGAACCGUUGGUGUCAAAGGGGGGUGGUACACACUUACUGCACAAUCUGAUACACUCGCUCCAAUGGCAACACCAGCUGUAAUGACGACGAUUGCAACAAACGCAUGGCUGAUCCUCAUUGUGAGCCCGAGAAUCGCGUAAUGGUUGAAGCAGAGGGAAACAUCAUUCACUGGUAUCGCCCCUCUGCCCAAUGUUCGGCGUAGGUACGGUAAGCACAUCCAAGUGACACAAAAGCCUCCCAGGGAUGCAUUUCAAAGAGCAGCUAAUUUCCAGCCCGGCGCCAAGACGAAGCGGUGCUACGGCACGGGGAUGUUUGGCAGAUGUUGGCAAAUCUGCAUUUCUCAUUUGCUCAAGAAUGAGAGCUGGAUGCCAUCAACGUUAGCCUAUGCGGGUGAAGUUUUGUCUUUGCUGGUAGUUAUUGGUCCUCUGAAGAUCCCUAAGCACCUCGCUGUUCUUUACACCGGCAUCUCUGGCCCUUUUCAUCUCGCCAAAGGCAUAGAGACUGGGGUUGCUGGCUCAAGAAUUGGAUAAACGCACGAAGCGACGGAAUGCGCCAAUAUUAGCAAGCUAUGUUAUGUCCGCAUAAUUCUAGGAGCAUGGAAAAUAAUAUCAACGGCUAAUGGGGCCCUGGGGAUCCAGGCUUAACUUGGUUUUGAAGUCCCUGGAGCGGUUUGUGAGCUCGUCACUGGGCUGAUUUGACGGGGGCGCCAUAUCAGAAACGAAUCACGAAACAACAGAGUGACUUUGUAUACAUACAUACUUGAAGUUAACUGGAUUAUCAUGGCCAUCAUUGAUCAGAUAAACAU
rnacentral:sRNA from 1 species